UACGGAAGGUCCUGGCGUUAUCCGGAUUUAUUGGGUUUAAAGGGAGCGUAGGCCGUGGAUUAAGCGUGUUGUGAAAUGCAGGUGCUCAACGUCUGCACUGCAGCGCGAACUGGUCCACUUGAGUGUGCGCAACGCAGGCGGAAUUCGUCGUGUAGCGGUGAAAUGCUUAGAUAUGACGAAGAACUCCGAUUGCGAAGGCAGCUUGCGGGAGCACAACUGACGCUGAAGCUCGAAAGUGCGGGUAUCGAACAGG
rnacentral:rRNA from 1 species